GUCUACAGCCAUACCACCCUGAAUGCACCUGAUCCUGGCUGAUCUCAGAAGCUAAGCAGGGUUGGGCCUGGUUAGUACUUGGAUGGGAGAAAGAAAGGCGAAGGGAGGAGUACGGCA
rnacentral:rRNA from 1 species